rnacentral:rRNA from 1 species
UACGGAGGGUGCAAGCGUUGUCCGGAAUUAUUGGGCGUAAAGCGCGCGCAGGCGGUCCCUUAAGUCUGAUGUGAAAGCCCACGGCUCAACCGUGGAGGGUCAUUGGAAACUGGGGGACUUGAGUGCAGAAGAGGAAAGUGGAAUUCCAUGUGUAGCGGUGAAAUGCGUAGAGAUGUGGAGGAACACCAGUGGCGAAGGCGACUUUCUGGUCUGUAACUGACGCUGAGGCGCGAAAGCGUGGGGAGCAAACAGG